AGGCCUGGAUCUUUGAGCCUGAUGGCCAGAGGCGGCACGAAGCCCUGGUCGAGGUCGAAGAGGAAUGGCGCCGCCUUGAUCAUAGGCUUGGCGGUCGACAGGGUGGUGUCGACCGUGUCGAGUGACGGGGGGACAGGGGUCGAGCACCUAGCAGCGGAGAGGGGCGCACGAAGCAGGCCUUCCAAGCCCCAAGUCUGAGGGGCGUGACCCCCAGGAGGGCGAGGGCGGUGCUGAGAUCGUAGAAUGGGGCCCUCAGCGAAUCCUGGCAGGUCUCCGGCAUUAGAGGAGCUCUGCGGCAGUUUUGAUUUUGGAGAGAUUUGAUUGAGAUUUGAGCACAUAAAUGCUAGGAUUCAUAGAAGUUGGUGAGAAGUAAGCUUUAGUGAAAUCAAGAUUGGGUAUUUUGGGGAAAUGGGGUAGCAUUGGCGGAAUCUUGAAUUAGUGUUGGCAUAAUCCACGGAGAGAAGAGUGAGAUCGGAGGGGAUGGAAGAUUGUAUGGAGAGAGCAUCGAUAGGGAGUUAAACUGGAAGAGAGAAGCAAAGGAGUGGAGUUUUAGGUUUUCGGGUUUCGAUCGAGAAGUUUAGGUCAAAAUCAUAGAAGAAAUCUGAGAUAAAAUGUGAAAAAAAUUCUAAUCAACCAUUCAGCCUUCUAUUGAGCAAGAAUACAGAACAAUCAAAUAGAUCUCCAUCUCCAACUUCAUUUUAUAUCUAUCUCCUCGGAUAGGUGGCCCCAAGAAUGUAGAAGUAUUUUCUUAAAAUAUAGAAACUGAAAUGCUUGGCCUUGUUUGGAAGUUUGGAGGAGAAAAAAAUAUUAGUAAGGAGAGAAAAGAAAAGAAAAGAAAAAAAUAUAUAUUUCUUUCUUCGUGAUUAGGAGUUUAAAAUAAAAAAAGAAAAAGUUUCUUUCCUUUUUGAUUGGAAGCAAAGAAAAAAGGAAAAAAAAAUAUUACAAUCUUCUUUUACUAUUAUAUCCUUGAAAGGAAUCAAUAAAUCCAAAAAAAGAAUUAAAAAAAAUCUUACCUUUUAAUUUUUGUCCAUCUUUUCUUUUGUUUUUAUUGAUUUUUCCAUCCACAGGAGACUCAAUCGAAUGAAGGCUUAGGUGGGAGGGUUGAAAUAAGCCUUAGGAUUGAAAUGUUCUUCAUAAUUAAGGGGGU
rnacentral:lncRNA from 1 species